rnacentral:misc_RNA from 1 species
CCGAGUUUACAACCCCAAACCCCUGUGAACAUACCACUUGUUGCCUCGGCGGAUCAGCCCGCUCCCGGUAAAACGGGACGGCCCGCCAGAGGACCCCUAAACUCUGUUUCUAUAUGUAACUUCUGAGUAAAACCAUAAAUAAAUCA